rnacentral:lncRNA from 1 species
CCCAGAAGGGGUUUGUGUGCCCAAAAGGGGUCAGGGUUCUCCAAAAGGGGUCUGGGUACCCAAAAGGGGUCUGGGUACCCAGAAGGGGUUUGUGUGCCCAAAAGGGGUCUGGGUUCCCCAAAAGGGGUCUGGGUACCCAAAAGGGAUCUGGAUCACCAAAAGGGGUCCAGGUUCCUCAAAAGGGGUCCAGGUACCCAAAAGGGAGAUGGGGCCCCAGAAGGGGUUUGUGUGCCCAAAAGGGGUCAGGGUUCUCCAAAAGGGGUCUGGGUUCCCAAAGGGGGGGGUUGGGUCCCCAAAAGAGGUCUGGGUCACCAAAAGGGGUCUGAGUGCCCAAAAGGGGUCUGGGUCCCCAGAAGGGGUUUGCGUGCCCAAAAGGGGUCUGGGUUCCCCAAAAGGGAGAUGGGUACCCAAAAGGGGGAUGGGUCCCCAGAAGGGGUUUGCGUGCCCAAAAGGGGUCUGGGUUCCCCAAACCGGAUCUGGAUCACCAAAAGGGGUCCGGGUUCCCCAAAAGGGGUCUGGGUCCUCAAAAGGGGUCUGGGUUCCCAAAGUGGGGUUGGGUCCCCGAAAGGGGGCUGGAUCCUAUGAACAGAGACUGGUCCCCAAAAGGGAUCUGAGCCCCCAAAAUGGGUUUACAUCCCAUAAGCAGAGGUUGGCCCUCAAAAGGGGUCUGGGUCAUCAAAAGGGAUUUUGAGCCCCAAAAGGGGUCUGGGUUCCCAGAAGGGGUCUGGGUCCCCAGAACGGGAUUUGGAUCCCAUAAGCAAAUGUUGACCCCUGAAACAGGUUUGAGUCCCCAACAGAGAUUUGGGCUCCACAAGCAAAGGUUGGCCCCCCAAAGGCAUCUGGAUGCCCAAAAGGGGUCUGGGUCCCCAAAAAGGGCUUGGACCCCAUAAGCAAAUCUUGGCUCCCAAAAGAGCUCUGGGUUCCCCAAAAAUAUCUGGGUCCUGAAACGGGGUUUGGGCUCCAUAAGCUGGAGCUGGUCCCCAAAAGGGGUUUGGAUCCCAUAAUGGCCCCUGAAAACAGGCGGGGGCGGGGGGGCGCGAGGCUUUUAGGAUGAAAUUAAAACGCGAGAUGCUUUAUCAGGUGCAAAAACGAUGACUGCUAAAGCCGCCGUGGCUCAGCAUCCGGGGGACGGUAGGAAACGCGAACACCC